UAUUUUCUCUUCUACAAUGUAUGUAUCUUCUCUCUUCUUUCAGAUUGGCUCCCUGUAUGCUUGUCAGUUACAUGGCAGGUGGCAUGAACGACCUUCCCACAUCAAGCCCCAGUUGCAGGCGUUGGGUAUUUUGUUCCAGCCACGAGAAGCUGAUCGAUACAUACCCUAGCAGAAACACAACGAAUGGUGACACACCAACUACUCACCUCUC